rnacentral:rRNA from 1 species
CCCAGACUCCUACGGGAGGCAGCAGUGGGGGAUAUUGCACAAUGGGGGGAACCCUGAUGCAGCGACGCCGCGUGGGUGAAGGAGCGUUUCGGCGCGUAAAGCCCUAUCGGCAGGGAAGAAGGAGGACGGUACCUGACUAAGAAGCCCCGGCUAACUACGUGCCAGCAGCCGCGGUAAUACGUAGGGGGCAAGCGUUAUCCGGAUUUACUGGGUGUAAAGGGGGCGCAGACGGCAGCGCAAGCCAGGAGUGAAAGCCCGGGGCCCAACCCCGGGACUGCUCUUGGAACUGCGCGGCUGGAGUGCAGGAGGGGCAGGCGGAAUUCCUGGUGUAGCGGUGAAAUGCGUAGAUAUUAGGAGGAACACCAGUGGCGAAGGCGGCCUGCUGGACGAUGACUGACGUUGAGGCUCGAAAGCGUGGGGAGCAAACAGGAUUAGAUACCCUCGUAC